GGAAGCGUGGCCGAGUGGUUUAAGGCAACGGUCUUGAAAACCGUCGUAGGGGCGACUCUACCGUGAGUUCGAAUCUCACCGCUUCCGCCA
rnacentral:tRNA from 1 species